rnacentral:rRNA from 1 species
AUUGAACGCUGGCGGCAGGCCUAACACAUGCAAGUCGAGCGAGCGGCGGACGGGUGAGUAAUGUCUGGGAAACUGCCUGAUGGAGGGGGAUAACUACUGGAAACGGUAGCUAAUACCGCAUACCAUCAGAUGUGCCCAGAUGGGAUUGGCUAGUGGGUGGGGUAACGGCUCACCUAGGCGACGUUCCCUAGCUGGUCUGAGAGGAUGACCAGCCAAACUGGAAUGGGGACCCGGUCCAGAUCCCUACGGGAGGCAGCAGUGGGGAAUAUUGCACAAUGGGCGAAAGCCUGCUGCAGCCAUGCGGCGUGUGUGAGGAAGGCCUUCGGGUUGUAAAGCACUUUCAGCGGGGAGGCGUUACCCGCAGAAGAAGCACCGGCUAACUCCGUGCCAGCCGCCGCGGUAAUUC